GCGGUGCUAUACUGCAGUCGAACGCACAGCGAAAGGUGCUUGCACCUUUCAAGUGAGUGGCGAACGGGUGAGUAACACGUGGAUAACCUACCUCAAGGUUGGGGAUAACAUUUGGAAACAGAUGCUAAUACCGAAUAAAACUUAGUAUCGCAUGAUACCAGGUUAAAAGGCGCUACGGCGUCACCUAGAGAUGGAUCCGCGGUGCAUUAGUUAGUUGGUGGGGUAAAGGCUUACCAAGACAAUGAUGCAUAGCCGAGUUGAGAGACUGAUCGGCCACAUUGGGACUGAGACACGGCCCAAACUCCUACGGGAGGCUGCAGUAGGGAAUCUUCCACAAUGGGCGAAAGCCUGAUGGAGCAACGCCGCGUGUGUGAUGAAGGCUUUCGGGUCGUAAAGCACUGUUGUAUGGGAAGAACAGCUAGAGUAGGGAAUGACUUUAGUUUGACGGUACCAUACCAGAAAGGGACGGCUAAAUACGUGCCAGCAGCCGCGGUAAUACGUAUGUCCCGAGCGUUAUCCGGAUUUAUUGGGCGUAAAGCGAGCGCAGACGGUUAAUUAAGUCUGAUGUGAAAGCCCGGAGCUCAACUCCGGAAAGGCAUUGGAAACUGGUUAACUUGAGUGCAGUAGAGGUAAGUGGAACUCCAUGUGUAGCGGUGGAAUGCGUAGAUAUAUGGAAGAACACCAGCGGCGAAGGCGGCUUACUGGACUGUAACUGACGUUGAGGCUCGAAAGUGUGGGUAGCAAACAGGAUUAGAUACCUGGUAGUCCACACCGUAAACGAUGAACACUAGGUGUUAGGAGGUUUCCGCCUCUUAGUGCCGAAGCUAACGCAUUAAGUGUUCCGCCUGGGGAGUACGACCGCAAGGUUGAAACUCAAAGGAAUUGACGGGGACCCGCACAAGCGGUGGAGCAUGUGGUUUAAUUCGAAGCACGCGAGACCU
rnacentral:rRNA from 1 species